CGCAAGUAGUGGCGAGCGAACCCGGAGGAGCCCGUACGCAAUAACUGUCGAGAUAGAAGAACAAACUGGGGAGCAUGACCAUAGUGGGUGACCGUCCCGUAAUCGAAAUCUCAACAGCGGUACUAAGCGGACGAAAAGGAGGGUGGGACACGUGAAAUCCUGUUUGAAUAUC
rnacentral:rRNA from 1 species